UGGUUUGUUGUAUAUAGAUGGAAAUAGUUGUCGAUACUUUUUCCUUACUCGGUAGCUGUAGGGGUGAGAAGCCAUUUUUCUUUGGGAACCUUUUCUCCAGUUUUUGGUUAGGGAGGCAGACAACUCAGACUUCCACCUACCUCAGAAGUUGCUCAAGAACUUCUACUCAUGCACCAUCCAGAGCAUCCUGAUGGGAAAUAUCUGCACCUAGUAUUGGAACAGCACCAAGGAGGAAAGACGAGCUUUCCAAAUAGUGGUGCACUUUGCCAAAUGCAUCAUUCGACAAAUGGAAGGCCAGCCCACCAGGUGCUCUCUGUAUUGCUCACUCCCAAGACCUGACUCCAGGACGUGCAGGAGAAAUGACAUCUCUGAGCUGGCCUAAUGCCUCAGUGGAAAGAAAAAGGUCUGGGCGUCUUUGCCUAGGCUACUGCCUCUGUUAUCAAGCCACGGAUAAGCAGAACAAAAUUGGUGGUUGGACCUUUGGUUCUGUUAAAAAUGAGGAAAAAAAGGAGUAAAUCUUUUGAAACUCAUCCAGAAUAUUCAUGUGACUAAGUGGAGUUUUCUGAUGUACAGCUCCACAGGGACAACUCUUCAGCAUGUCAGUUUCAAUCUAAGAUGCAGACAGAGCAGAUUUGUUUCAGAGAGUUUGAAACAAACUCAGAGCAGAGUUUUAUCGAUUCUAUGGAGUGCACAAAAUCAACUUCCAAGUGAAAGGAUAAGACGGGUCCAUUUCACUAUAGAUGCACAAGAUUAGUUAGAACUC